CCAAAAUAGGUAUACAUCACCCAUCUUGAGUCACCAAAUACAUGGUACAGAAUACAAAUACAAUCUUUAAUAUACAACAAGAGAGCUGUGAGUUUUAAUACAAAUAUUAUCUUCUAGACAAUAUCCACUCUCAGAUUAAGUCCUCAUUACAUUUAUUGUCACACUAUUUAACAGAAUAGUGAGGACUACUAGUACUAUCAUCUGGACCGUCACUCCGUUCCCCGACUAGUCCCGGC
rnacentral:lncRNA from 1 species